GUCCUGAUGCCCCCAAAAGAAAAGAAAGCAACAAAGCCCGAAUCGUUAAAGAGAGACGACGAUCGACCACAAAACAGCAUCAGGAACAGUUUACACCGAUAGCUGGAGUUCUAACAACGCCGCGGCCGUUUCUGCAGAGUGUUUAAAAGACCUUGUGUUGGAUUACUCACACAACACCGACCCCGAGACGCAGAAAACAAUAGGCAUCGAGCAAG